rnacentral:rRNA from 1 species
GCGGAAGCCUGAUGCAGCAACGCCGCGUGCGGGAUGACGGCCUUCGGGUUGUAAACCGCUUUCACCCAUGACGAAGCGCGAGUGACGGUAGUGGGGGAAGAAGCACCGGCCAACUACGUGCCAGCAGCCGCGGUGAUACGUAGGGUGCGAGCGUUGUCCGGAAUUAUUGGGCGUAAAGAGCUUGUAGGCGGUUGAUCGCGUCGAUAGUGAAAUCCCGGGGCUCAACCUCGGGCUUGCUGUCGAUACGGGUUGACUUGAGGAAGGUAGGGGAGAAUGGAACUCCCGGUGGAGCGGUGGAAUGCGCAGAUAUCGGGAAGAACACCGGUGGCGAAGGCGGUUCUCUGGACCUUUCCUGACGCUGAGAAGCGAAAGCGUGGGGGGCAAACAGGCUUAGAUACCCUGGUAGUCCACGCUGUAAACGGUGGGUACUAGGUGUGGGUCACAUUCCACGUGAUCCGUGCCGUAGCCAACGCAUUAAGUACCCCGCCUGGGGAGUACGGCCGCAAGGCUAAAACUCAAAGGAAUUGACGGGGGCCCGCACAAGCGGCGGAGCAUGCGGAUUAAUUCGAUGCAACGCGAAGAACCU